rnacentral:lncRNA from 7 species
CUUCCCUCCAGGCUGUGGAGGCUCAGAUCCUUUCUACUGCAAAGCAGGGAGCUGAUAAUCCUCUGCAGGGUCAUCCAAGCUGCUGAAGUGCCAGGCUUUGGCUGCUCCCUCGGUUCCCAUGAGUGCAGCAAAAAACCCACCCCAAACACAAUGUGAAAGAACAACCAGCAAAGCUGUUUGAAGUCCACUGCUUCUUUGGCUGCCAAAGGUCACUCCUUGUAGGGCACAGAGUGAUAAUGCCUGGUUAGUUUUCAACAUCUGUGCACUGGACAGAAACCGAGAAUCCUAGAUGUGUCUUGGGUACGUCACAUCUUCACCAUAGCACAAGGGCAGGGCAGAGGGAACCAGAGGGAAAGAGAUCUCCAUACCUCUCACCCUGAAAGCGCCCAAAGGCUAAGCAUGGGUACCUGAGAUAUGCUUGUACUGCUGAGGGUGCACAGAAGGUUGAAGACUUGAAAAUGAAGUCUGACAUCUUGAAGACCAAGAUCAUCUCUGGAAGUGUAGCCAAAAGAUGCUAUAGUUGCAAGUUCACUGACUUGUGUAACAAUACAUUUUCUUGUAUUUGAGUAACAAUGCUGCAAUUAGCUUUCUUCAUAGUCAGUUGAAUAAUUUCUUUUUAGUAUUAAGCAAACCAAACUUUCAAGGAUGCUGUUCUGUUCUCUCCUGAAUGAGAAGUUGAGUGUGCCAGCAGAAUUUCAGUUAAUUGGCAGCAUUUAGCUCCUGAGCUACUGCAGGUCAUCUUACUGGCCAGACCUUGUGUUGCAUUUGGAGCCAAUGGCAGGUGGUAGCCUCAUCCUCCAGACCAGGGGCUCUUGGUGGUGCCAUCAGCACGCCCUCAGCAGGCACUACAUUUCCUUCCAAAGAAGACCAGCUGGGACAAGUGUUCCUGUGCAUACUUUUCAGCUUGCCUGCAGAGCAAAGACCCAUGGGCUGUGUUGUGUUUUGAGUCCUACUGCACAUGUUUGAGGAGGUACCCAAGUGGUAGAGCCUACUGUAUCUUCAUGCUAUACUUUGUCUUCAGGGCUUAUGUCUUUGUUCUGUCUUUCAACCAGAACAUGCAAACCAUGUCUUAUGGUUUUGGGUGUAACGUUGAGAAGCACAAGAGGAGAUACCGAUAGCAAACUGUUUGGCUAGUUUGGACAUUAAAACAUUUUUUUUUUCU